UCGUACACCUGUUGCGGACAGAUGUAGUGGACGUGCACGUCAAUCGCGCCUGCAGUGACAAUGAGACUCUCGCCUGCCACGACCUCCGUCGCUGAACCGACUACGAGAUCGGGGUGGACACCGUCCAUAAUGUCCGGAUUUCCUGCCUUGCCGAUGCCGUGGAUUCUGCCAUCCUUCACGCCGAUAUCGGCCUUGAGAAUAUUUGACAUAUCAGUGACGCGUUGAAUCGGUAUGCAAGGACAAGCAUACCUUGUAGAUACCCCGCCAAUCUAUGAUCAGCGCAUUCGUGAUGACCAAGUCGAGGACGGUCUCUGCCUCUCUGCCCGAAGCUUGUCCCAUACCAUCUCGA
rnacentral:sRNA from 1 species